UAGAUGAAUCAAUAUACAUGAUUUCUUCAAUUUUUUUUGACCAAUUACCGGUGAGUGAAAUUUCCCAAGGCACAAUUUAAGAGCUCUCAUGGGACCCUAAUGUGCCCUGGCACACUGGUCAGGAAUCGCUUUGCCGCUACAUGUACGUUUGACAUCAAGUUAUGUCAAGCAAAAAUACAAAUAAAGUUGACACACCACAGACAAGCGUGCUGUUAACAAACCUGCAAGAUUUCGAUUGUC